GUGGGGAAUAUUGCACAAUGGGCGCAAGCCUGAUGCAGCCAUGCCGCGUGUAUGAAGAAGGCCUUAGGGUUGUAAAGUACUUUCAGCGGGGAGGAAGGUGAUAAGGUUAAUACCCUUAUCAAUUGACGUUACCCGCAGAAGAAGCACCGGCUAACUCCGUGCCAGCAGCCGCGGUAAUACGGAGGGUGCAAGCGUUAAUCGGAAUUACUGGGCGUAAAGCGCACGCAGGCGGUCAAUUAAGUCAGAUGUGAAAGCCCCGAGCUUAACUUGGGAAUUGCAUCUGAAACUGGUUGGCUAGAGUCUUGUAGAGGGGGGUAGAAUUCCAUGUGUAGCGGUGAAAUGCGUAGAGAUGUGGAGGAAUACCGGUGGCGAAGGCGGCCCCCUGGACAAAGACUGACGCUCAGGUGCGAAAGCGUGGGGAGCAAACAGGAUUAGAAACCCUAGUAGUCC
rnacentral:rRNA from 1 species